rnacentral:rRNA from 1 species
AGAGUUUGAUCAUGGCUCAGGAUGAACGCUAGCGGCAGGCUUAACACAUGCAAGUCGAGGGGUAGAGGAAGCUUGCUUCCUUGAGACCGGCGCACGGGUGCGUAACGCGUAUGCAAUCUACCUUGUACAGGGGGAUAGCCCAGAGAAAUUUGGAUUAAUACCCCAUGGUGUUAUGAUGUGGCAUCACAUUAUAACUAAAGUUCCAACGGUACAAGAUGAGCAUGCGUCCCAUUAGCUAGUUGGUGUGGUAACGGCAUACCAAGGCAACGAUGGGUAGGGGUCCUGAGAGGGAGAUCCCCCACACUGGUACUGAGACACGGACCAGACUCCUACGGGAGGCAGCAGUGAGGAAUAUUGGUCAAUGGGCGCAAGCCUGAACCAGCCAUGCCGCGUGCAGGAUGACGGUCCUAUGGAUUGUAAACUGCUUUUGUACAGGAAGAAACACUCCCUCGUGAGGGAGCUUGACGGUACUGUAAGAAUAAGGAUCGGCUAACUCCGUGCCAGCAGCCGCGGUAAUACGGAGGAUCCAAGCGUUAUCCGGAAUCAUUGGGUUUAAAGGGUCCGUAGGCGGUUUUAUAAGUCAGUGGUGAAAUCUGGUCGCUCAACGAUCAAACGGCCAUUGAUACUGUAGAACUUGAAUUAUUGGGAAGUAACUAGAAUAUGUAGUGUAGCGGUGAAAUGCUUAGAGAUUACAUGGAAUACCAAUUGCGAAGGCAGGUUACUACCAAUACAUUGACGCUGAUGGACGAAAGCGUGGGGAGCGAACAGGAUUAGAUACCCUGGUAGUCCACGCCGUAAACGAUGGAUACUAGCUGUUCGGAGCAAUCUGAGUGGCUAAGCGAAAGUGAUAAGUAUCCCACCUGGGGAGUACGAACGCAAGUUUGAAACUCAAAUGAAUUGACGG